rnacentral:rRNA from 1 species
UACGUAGGGGGCAAGCGUUGUCCGGAUUUAUUGGGCGUAAAGAGCGUGUAGGCGGCUUCACAAGUCCGCUGUGAAAACUCGAGGCUCAACCUCGAGACGCCGGUGGAAACCAUCAGACUAGAGUCCGGAAGAGGAGAGUGGAAUUCCUGGUGUAGCGGUGAAAUGCGCAGAUAUCAGGAAGAACACCCGUGGCUAAGGCGGCUCUCUAGUACGGUACUGACGCUGAGACGCGAAAGCGUGGGGAGCGAACAGG